rnacentral:rRNA from 1 species
GCUUUACACAUGCAAGUCGAACGGCAGCACGGAGAGCUUGCUCUCUGGUGGCGAGUGGCGAACGGGUGAGUAAUAUAUCGGAACGUGUCCAAUAAUGGGGGAUAACGAGUCGAAAGAUUCGCUAAUACCGCAUACGCCCUACGGGGGAAAGCAGGGGAUCGUAAGACCUUGCGUUAAUGGAGCGGCCGAUAUCUGAUUAGCUUGUUGGUGAGGUAAAGGCUCACCAAGGCGACGAUCAGUAGCUGGUUUGAGAGAACGACCAGCCACACUGGAACUGAGACACGGUCCAGACUCCUACGGGAGGCAGCAGUGGGGAAUUUUGGACAAUGGGGGCAACCCUGAUCCAGCCAUUCCGCGUGAGUGAAGAAGGCCUUCGGGUUGUAAAGCUCUUUCGCAAGGGAAGAAAACUUAUGAUCGAAUAAAUCAUGAGGUUGACGGUACCUUGAUAAGAAGCACCGGCUAACUACGUGCCAGCAGCCGCGGUAAUACGUAGGGUGCGAGCGUUAAUCGGAAUUACUGGGCGUAAAGCGUGCGCAGGCGGUUUUGUAAGUCGGAUGUGAAAUCCCCGGGCUCAACCUGGGAACUGCGUUCGAAACUGCAAGGCUAGAGUGUGUCAGAGGGGGGUAGAAUUCCACGUGUAGCAGUGAAAUGCGUAGAGAUGUGGAGGAAUACCAAUGGCGAAGGCAGCCCCCUGGGAUAACACUGACGCUCAUGCACGAAAGCGUGGGGAGCAAACAGGAUUAGAUACCCUGGUAGUCCACGCCCUAAACGAUGUCAACUAGUUGUUGGUAGAGUAAAAUCUAUGAGUAACGUAGCUAACGCGU